GAUGAACGCUGGCGGCGUGCUUAACACAUGCAAGUCGAACGGGAAACCUUUUAUUGAAGCUUCGGCAGAUUUAGCUGGUUUCUAGUGGCGGACGGGUGAGUAACGCGUGGGUACCCUGCCUUAUACAGGGGGAUAACAGUCAGAAAUGGCUGCUAAUACCGCAUAAGCGCACAGAGCUGCAUGGCUCAGUGUGAAAAACUCCGGUGGUAUGAGAUGGACCCGCGUUGGAUUAGCUGGUUGGUGGGGUAAGGGCCCACCAGGGCGCCGAUCCAUGGCCGGCCUGAGAGGGUGAACGGCCACAUUGGGACUGAGACACGGCCCAGACUCCUACGGGAGGCAGCAGUGGGGAAUAUUGCACAAUGGGGGAAACCCUGAUGCAGCGACGCCGCGUGAAGGAAGAAGUAUCUCGGUAUGUAAACUUCUAUCAGCAGGGAAGAUAAUGACGGUACCUGACUAAGAAGCCCCGGCUAACUACGUG
rnacentral:rRNA from 1 species